rnacentral:rRNA from 1 species
AUUGAACGCUGGCGGCAGGCCUAACACAUGCAAGUCGAGCGAGCGGCGGACGGGUGAGUAAUGUAUGGGGAUCUGCCCGCUAGAGGUGGCUAACUACUUGAAACGGUGGCUAAUACCGCAUACUAUCGGAUGAACCCAUAUGGGAUUAGCUAGUGGGUGGGGUAACGGCUCACCUAGGCGACGAUCCCUAGCUGGUCUGAGAGGAUGACCAGCCACACGUGUACUGAGACACGGCCCAGACUCCUACGGGAGGCAGCAGUGGGGAAUAUUGCACAAUGGGCGCAAGCCUGAUGCAGCCAUGCCGCGUGUAUGAAGAAGGCCUUAGGGUUGUAAAGUACUUUCAGCGGGGAGGCGUUACACGCAGAAGAAGCACCGGCUAACUCCGUGCCAGCCGCCGCGGUAAUAC